rnacentral:tRNA from 1 species
CGGGGUGGCCGAGCGGUCACACCAAAAAGUGCCACAAAAGGCGGCGGAUUGCUAAUCCGCUGGCGAUUUCGCCUCCCGGGUUCGAAUCCCGGCCCCGGCGCCA